rnacentral:lncRNA from 1 species
UUUCACAACUCUCUAAUCUCUACAAAAUCACUCUCAAAGCUCUUGCAAAUCAGAAAUUCGGACAGAUUCAUACCUCCUUACAAAAGUGAGCAUAACUUGCUCAAAACUCAACCAAAUCACUUGAUUCUUCUUUCUAAAUGCUUGGAUAAUCUUUGGGCUUGAUUCCUUGAUCUCUCCUUGGAGAAAUCAGACCUGGAAAUACCCUAAAAGUGUCCAUAAACUUUCUGUUGUGUUUUAAAAACUUUCUAAACUCUUGUUUACUUCAAACAAACUUGUGUCCUUAUGCUUCUAGUCUCUUGUAUGAUUAGUAAAGCCAAACCAAGCUCACAAGUGGUGUCAAGUCUUGAACUUGAAGAUGGUGUGACUACUUGGCUAGCCUAGGCUAACCUACAUACAUGUCCACACACCACUUGAUGUUUUGCUUAGUUAGUUGUAUUAUUUCUUGUACAUAUCUAUGAGGUUCCUAAAGAGAAGAUUCGUCUUCCUACCUCCUACAUGACCACAUGUUAAUAAAUCAUUCGAGGUACCAAAGUGGAGGGUUUCACCUCCCACCUCCUACUUGACUUAUAUGACACCAAGAGGUACCAAAGUGGAAGGUCCAACCUCCCGCCUCCUACAUGACUAAGUAUAUUAUUAUGUAUAUGAUGCGUGUUAGUGUGUAUAUAUUUUUGAUGUAUUUUUAAGCCCUUUUUACACUUUUAGCCAAGUUUUAAAUUUAUAAAACACGAUAUUUACUAACACUAAACACACAUAUGGGCAAGUGCACCCAUCGUGGACGUAGUAUAGUGUUGGUAAGAUACCGAGGUCGUCCAAGGACACAAGAGCUUUUAAUACCGGUUUAUCCUCAACGUCUAAUCAAAUCAAAAAGUUAGAAAAAUGUUUUAAACUAAGAAAAAUAAAAACUAACUAAAUGCUGAAAAAUAAAAUAAAAUAAAAACAGAUAGACAAGAUGAAUCACUUGGAUCCGACAAGUGUAUUAGUAUAACCUUUGAUUAUUUUCGCACUUUUGCACUUGUUUAAGAGAUUAUCUUAGUUAUUGUAGUAGGCCCCUUUUUCGGAGGUGACGUUACCCUCAACCCAGUAGUUUGAGUCAGCAAGGAUACAAUCCUAAAGGGUUGGAUUAUUGAAAGAUAAUGAAUUAAGUUAUUAAUGCAAAUUAUGGUAGGCCCCGCUUUUGGCGGUGACGUUACCCUCGGCUAAGUAGUCUGAGUCAGCAGGGAUACAGUCCUAAAUAGCCGGGUUAUAGUAUUAAUAGUAGUUAGCUUAUGAGGGGGUCAAAGAGUUUGGAUCCCCGCCAUCCAAUACCUAUGGGCAUUGAAGGAGAUCCUACUAAAUUUGACCCAGGUCCCAAGCAGGACCUCUAAACGCUGAACAAGGGCAAGACCUUUACCAAACCGUUCCCUUAACCCCCGACCAGGUAGCCAACAUACCUCCAUAUAGACCGUGGAGAUAUGAAUGGUGAAAAUCUUUUAUUUUAUAUAGACAGUAAAAUAAUGCCAAGACACCACGGACAAACGAUAAGGAAAGAUCACCUUCAACAUAAGUAACUAGUUAUUAAAGUCAUUAAUAC